UGUGAACGCCUUCAUGGCGGACUUAUGCCUUAGAUGGCCUAUUAACACAUCUUUGGGUGGACUUAUGCAUUGGAUGGUUUAUUGAUGCCUUUGUGGUGAACUUAUGCUUGUUCGGUGGCUUGUCAACACUUUUAUGGCGAACUUAUGUCUUGAAUGUCUUGUCGAUGCCUUCAUGGCAAACUUAUGCCUUAGAUGGCUUGUCGACAUCUCUUUGGGUAGACUUAUGCCUUUUGGGUGGCUUGUCAACGCUUUUGUAGUGGACUUAUACGUUGAAUAGCUUGUCAAUGCCUCUUUGAGCAGACUUAUGUCUUGGAUGGUUUUUCGACGCCUUCAUGGGCGGACGUGUGCUGUUGGUGGCUUUGUCGACACUUUAUAAGCAGACGUGUGCUAUUGGUGGCUUUGUCGAUGCUUUAUGGGUGGAUGUAUGCUGUUGGUGGCUUUGUCGACGCUUUGUGGGCGGAUGUGUGCCGUUGAUGGCUAUGUCGA
rnacentral:misc_RNA from 1 species